rnacentral:rRNA from 1 species
AUGGUAUCAGUGAAUGUUGGGUUAGUACAUUAUGUAUUGGACCAUAUAUAUGGGACUCUCCUUCAUCGCACGAAAUUAGGAACACCAUUUUUCUCAAGGGGAUGGGGAGGUACCAAACUUGAUUUGUUAGAGAGGAUGGUGAAGCAGCUAUUCCCUGAAGCACCUUGCCAGAACUGGCCACCAACUGCUGUGCAGCCUAAAUGGAAAACAGUUUGGGAGACAAAGAACUCUUGUCUGCGAGAGGGUGUUUUCCGGACAACAUGUGAUGAGAGGCUCAUUGAUGCAUUGCCUCCUGAGAGCCACAAUGCAAGAGUCGCUUUUCUUACACCCAAGGAUGUCUCACCAGAGAAGAUGGCUUGCGUGGUCCAUCUGGCAGGCACCGGUGAUCACUCAUUUGAGAGAAGGCUCCGGCUUGGUGGACCUCUUUUGAAGGACAAUAUUGCAACCAUGGUUCUUGAGAGCCCCUAUUAUGGACAACGACGUCCUAGCAUGCAGCAUGGGGCCAAGCUUCAAUGUGUGAGUGACUUGCUACUCUUAGGAAAAGCCACUAUUGAUGAAGCUCGCAGUCUCUUAUACUGGUUGCAGGCUGAGGCUGGUUAUGGCAAGAUGGGCAUAUGUGGGCUCAGCAUGGGCGGUGUACAUGCUGCAAUGGUUGGAUCCUUGCAUCCUACGCCAAUUGCCACACUACCAUUUCUUGCUCCACAUUCUGCUGUUGUACCUUUCUGUGAAGGACUUUACAGACAUGCCACAGCUUGGGAAGCACUGAGGGAAGAUGCAGCAGCAUUAGCUAAAGAUGCAACUUCUUUGACUGAAGAUGCGGCAUCCGGUAUCAGCAUUGAGCAAGUAAAAGACAGAUUAUGGUCAGUGCUGUCUCUGACGGACGUCACUCGAUUUCCCCUACCGAAGAAUCCACAGGCUGUCAUUUUUGUUGGUGCAACGGAUGACGGUUAUAUUCCUAGACACUCGGUCAUGGAGCUCCAGAAGGCAUGGCCGGGCUCGGAAGUCCGGUGGGUGACGGGAGGCCAUGUGUCCUCUUUUUUACUCCACAACGACUCGUUUCGCAAGGCCAUCGUCGAUGCCCUUGACAGAUUGUAA